rnacentral:ncRNA from 1 species
GCGUGGGUCGGCCCGCUGAGAGUGACGCAGUGGGCCGGGGGAGACCGCCGUCCUCAUCCCCGCGGACGGCGGACCGGUCCGGGAGGUGAACGGCGCCUCCCGGACCGCG